rnacentral:rRNA from 1 species
CGUAGGUGGUUUCUUAAGUCUGCUGUGAAAGCCCCGGGCUCAACCUGGGAAUUGCAGUGGAUACUGGGAAGCUAGAGUGCGGUAGAGGGUAGUGGAAUUCCCGGUGUAGCGGUGAAAUGCGUAGAGAUCGGGAGGAACACCAGUGGCGAAGGCGGCUACCUGGACCAGCACUGACACUGAGGCACGAAAGCGUGGGGAGCAAACAGGAUUAGAUACCCUGGUAGUCCACGCCCUAAACGAUGCGAACUGGAUGUUGGGAGCAACUUGGCUCUCAGUGUCGAAGCUAACGCGUUAAGUUCGCCGCCUGGGGAGUACGGUCGCAAGACUGAAACUCAAAGGAAUUGA